GUUGAUCCUGCCGGAGGUCACUGCUAUCGGGGUUCGAUUAAGCCAUGCGAGUCGAAAGGGUUCGGCCCUCGGCGUACUGCUCAGUAACACGUGGAUAACCUGCCCUAAGGAAGGGGAUAACCCCGGGAAACUGGGAAUAAUUCCGGAUAGGUCACCGAUGCUGGAAUGCGCGGUGGCCGAAAGCUCCGGCGCCCGAGGAUGGGUCUGCGGCCUAUCAGGGUUGUAGUGGGUGUAACGUACCUACUAGCCUACGACGGGUACGGGUUGUGAGAGCAAGAGCCCGGAGAUGGAUUCUGAGACACGAAUCCAGGCCCUACGGGGUGCAGCAGGCGCGAAAACUUUACAAUGCGGGAAACCGUGAUAAGGGGAUCUCGAGUGCCAGCAUAUAAUGUUGGCUGUCCAGAUGCCUAAAAAGCAUCUGUUAGCAAGGGCCGGGCAAGACCGGUGCCAGCCGCCGCGGUAACACCGGCGGCCCGAGUGGUAACCGCUAUUAUUGGGUCUAAAGGGUCUGUAGCCGGCCAGGUAAGUCCCUUGGGAAAUCUGGCAGCUCAACUGUCAGGCUGCUAGGGGAUACUGUUUGGCUUGGGACCGGGAGAGGUG
rnacentral:rRNA from 1 species